rnacentral:misc_RNA from 1 species
UCAAACUUGGUCAUUUAGAGGAAGUAAAAGUCGUAACAAGGUUUCCGUAGGUGAACCUGCGGAAGGAUCAUUACAGAGAAGGGGGUUUGCCCCCGGGGCUCCGGCCCUCCUCUAUACCCGUGUAUACCUCUCUUGUUGCUUUGGUGGGCCUUGGGCCCGCGCCCAUGCUGGCAGCUUUCCCCGCUGGCAAGCGCCCACCGUAAGCCCCCUUUCAAUAUUCUGUUUUCGGUACCGUCUGAGUGAAAACAACAAAUCAAGCAAAACUUUCAACAACGGAUCUCUUGGUUCUGGCAUCGAUGAAGAACGCAGC